rnacentral:tRNA from 1 species
GCGGGUGUAGCUCAAAGGUAGAGCUCCAGCCUUCCAAGCUGGCCGUGAGGGUUCGAUUCCCUUCACCCGCUCCA